AGGACGAACGCUGGCGGCGUGCCUAAUACAUGCAAGUCGAACGGUCUUUCUAUGGAAGCUUGCUUCCACUGAGAAGAUAGUGGCGAACGGGUGAGUAACAACGUGGGUAACCUGCCCAUAAGAGGGGGGAUAACAUCCGGAAACGGGUGCUAAUACCGCAUAGUUUUCUUGAUCGCAUGAUCGGGAAAGGAAAGACGGCCUUUGUGCUGUCGCUUAUGGAUGGACCCGCGGCGUAUUAGUUAGUUGGUGAGGUAACGGCUCACCAAGACGAUGAUACGUAGCCGACCUGAGAGGUGAUCGGCCACAUUGGGACUGAGACACGGCCCAAACUCCUACGGGAGGCAGCAGUAGGGAAUCUUCCGCAAUGGACGAAAGUCUGACGGAGCAACGCCGCGUGAGUGAAGAAAAGGUUUUCGGAUCGUAAAACUCUGUUGUCAGAGAAGAACAAGUUGGAGAGUAACUGCUCCAGCCUUGACGGUAUCUGACCAGAAAGCCACGGCUAACUACGUGCCAGCCGCCGC
rnacentral:rRNA from 1 species